rnacentral:rRNA from 1 species
UACAGAGGGUGCGAGCGUUAAUCGGAAUUACUGGGCGUAAAGCGCGCGUAGGCGGCUUCGCAAGUCGGAUGUGAAAUCCCCGGGCUUAACCCGGGAACUGCACUCGAGACUGCGUUGCUAGAGUAUGGGAGAGGGAGGUGGAAUUUCAGGUGUAGCGGUGAAAUGCGUAGAUAUCUGAAGGAACAUCAGUGGCGAAAGCGACCUCCUGGACCAAUACUGACGCUCAUGUGCGAAAGCGUGGGGAGCAAACAGG